UACGUAGGGCGCAAGCGUUGUCCGGAAUUAUUGGGCGUAAAGAGCUCGUAGGCGGUCUGUUGCGUCCGCUGUGAAAAAACUCGGGGCUUAACCCCGAGCCUGCAGUGGAUACGGGCAGACUAGAGGUAGGUAGGGGGAGAAUGGAAUUCCCGGUGUAGCGGUGAAAAUGCGCAGAUAUCGGGAGGAACACCGGUGGCGAAGGCGGUUCUCUGGGCCUUACCUGACGCUGAGGAGCGAAAGCGUGGGGGAGCGAACAGG
rnacentral:rRNA from 1 species